GAGUUUGAUCCUGGCUCAGAUUGAACGCUGGCGGCAGGCCUAACACAUGCAAGUCGAGCGGUAGCACAAGAGAGCUUGCUCUCUGGGUGACGAGCGGCGGACGGGUGAGUAAUGUCUGGGAAACUGCCUGAUGGAGGGGGAUAACUACUGGAAACGGUAGCUAAUACCGCAUAACGUCUACGGACCAAAGUGGGGGACCUUCGGGCCUCACGCCAUCAGAUGUGCCCAGAUGGGAUUAGCUAGUAGGUGGGGUAAUGGCUCACCUAGGCGACGAUCCCUAGCUGGUCUGAGAGGAUGACCAGCCACACUGGAACUGAGACACGGUCCAGACUCCUACGGGAGGCAGCAGUGGGGAAUAUUGCACAAUGGGCGCAAGCCUGAUGCAGCCAUGCCGCGUGUGUGAAGAAGGCCUUAGGGUUGUAAAGCACUUUCAGCGAGGAGGAAGGGCACAGUGUUAAUAGCAC
rnacentral:rRNA from 1 species